UACGGGGGGGGCAAGCGUUGUUCGGAAUUACUGGGCAUAAAGGGUGCGUAGGUGGCUUGUUAAGUCAGGGGUGAAAGUUUUCGGCCCAACCGGAAAAUGGCCUUUGAUACUGGCGAGCUCGAGUGCGUGAGGGGUAACCGGAACGAGCAGUGUAGCGGUGAAAUGCGUAGAUAUUGCUCGGAAGGCCAACGGCGAAGGCAGGUUACUGGUGCGCAACUGACACUGAGGCACGAAAGCGUGGGGAGCAAACAGG
rnacentral:rRNA from 1 species